CCCUGACAGAAAUGACUUUUUUUUCCUUUUCCUUUUUAAGUUGAAUUUUGCUGUAUGUCAUGAAAUAAUGCCUGUUUAUAUCAGUGUCAUAUGAACAGCCAUAGUCCACAGUAGCCAGCAAUGCUGCAUGAUCUUCUUCUGCAGCUGAUCGCGUCAACCCCACAUUCCUCGUCACUGAAACACCUGUGGUCACUACGAGCAUCAGGCACAUGGCAAGCACUCUCAACCCCUUGGUCAUCAUCUCCUGAACUUGAACUCAUCGCUGGACAGACUUGCUGAGACAUUGCACUUGCUUGUUUUACUUGCUUUUCAUUCUUGAUGUAAGUCCAGUUCGAAGGGAUGUACGUCUCUGGAAGCCUAUCAUGCCAAGCACUUAGCACGGGUAAAGGAUGGCCCUCAGUUGUGAAUAUAUAAUUUCGAUUGACCAAAAAUGAAUCAUCAAAAAGAAGAUACAAGUACUUGCACGUUUCAGCAAGAAAGAAACUAUGCUGAUGAUCUUCCCUUUGCAUAGUUGUCACGUCUCUAAUGCUGGCAAAACCUCCUUCCACUUUGGCGUAUAAAUUAAGGGAAUUAACAAUUGAUUCACCCACGUGUAUAUACCAUGGAUCUUUUGUUGCUUGAUAUAAGUAGAAUGUGGACUCUGCCAAUUCAGGGCGCAAUGGAUAAUACUUCUCUGUAGGAUGUACUGUUAGAUGAUCCAGCAAAUACCUUUCAGGUAGCACCCCAAACUUCUUCCACAAAUAAAAAAAUUCCCGAUGCGAUGAAUUGGCAGCUGCAAUAUCCCCAACAAGAACCUGUAGACCAGGCCAAAAGGCUUGAAGGCUUGUCAGUUGCCAAUAAGUUGGUUUUCCAGUCCUCAUGUCAGCUUCAUGGUACCAUGGGCCAUGUCUGAAAUAUUUCUGCACAGCAAGAUAAGCAGAAUGAAACAUUCUCCAGAAAUCCUCCUUUCCGAAAAGAAUGUGAGCCUUGUAAAGAUACUCAUAGAAUGAAUCAACCCCAGCUCCAAUUCCAGAUGAAUGCUCAAUCCAUUCACCAGUUGCAACAUCCAACGUUGUUCCUAACAAGUUUAAUGAACUGCGCAUACUCCAUAACUUCCGAAGAGCACGUAAAGCUGCAGACUCAUAUCUAGGAUCAC
rnacentral:misc_RNA from 1 species